rnacentral:lncRNA from 1 species
UCUUUUCAUUUUCUUUUUUAAAUAGGAUCAUAGAUGUGAAGCUGAAAGAAAAGUAUAGAUCAGAAUCCCUAACACCUUCAAUUUUCAAGUAAGGAAUCUGAGACUCAGAGCCUUACCCAAAGUCACUCAGCUAAUGAAUAGUAUUAACCAGGACUGGAAUUCAGAUCAUUUGACUCCAAAGUCAACAUUCUCCUACACUAUACCCUGUCUUUGUUCCCUCUUCUAGUGCUUUCUUUACUGAGGCACUAAGGCUUUGUGAGCUGGUUUCCUGUGAUGUCUCUUCAGUACAAUGCAAGGUUCUGUAGUUUGCUAUUCGUAAUCUAACUCUGGCAAAUGUCUUGGGGAAAAUGGGAAGCAAAAGGAAAAUGCGUCUGAGUCAGGCUGAAUGAAUUCUGCAACUCCUGCUGAAGUCAGCCAGAUCUGUGGACAACAGGAUUCACCGCUUUGUCCACAUUUACUGGGAAAUAUAACAAAAGAAGAGGAAAAACCAGUGAAGAUCAGUUUAACCUAUCCAUCAAGGAAGAGAAGAGCCAAGUGGAUGAAGGACAAGAGCCAUUGCACAGGGCCAAAAAAGCAUGAAGCUAAACUGUAUAGUACCAAUUGAGCACAAGGUCAGAGACCAACCAAUCCCGAUGGGGUCGAUGGAAGUUCUAAGCAAAUACAAAGGACUUGAACCUAGUGUGAGACUCAAGGUUGUGACACUUGACAUACGUUAAGACGUAGGCCUUCCUUGUAUCCACACUCUUUGUGAAAAUACUUACAGACAAGUAUCUCAAAUUUGCAUCCUAUCUGGUUCCUAUAAUCUAGUCCAUAUUCUGUCUUUCAUAAUGUGUCAACUUUCUGUAGUUCUGGCUACUAACUGGGUAAAGGCUUAAUUGCUUAUAUCAUUUUAAUUGGUCCAUGAUUCAAGGACCUGUUAGAGAUUUAUGUUUACUUUACUUGGAAUUUUUACACAUAAGACUUUGAUAGUCUAUAUUUCAUCCUGAAAUUAUCUUUUUUAUUUGGAUUUUUUUGAUGUUUUUGAUUUCUCUUACCAAUUGAUUCAUAUACCUCAUAACUCAGCCAUGCAUCCCUAAAUGAUCCCUGUGCUUUCCAAUCACCCUCUUCGGGGGGGGGGGAAUAUAAAAUUAUUAUUAUUUUAAGUUUCAAAGUUUAAAUUCCUUGAGAAAGAAAAUUUAGGUUAAGAAACAUGCUACCUCUAUGAAUCCAGAAACUGAACUGUUUGGAGAAGACACCAUGAAGAUGCCACCACAGACCACAAGCUGCAAUGAGAAGAUCCAGAGUAAACUUUGGGAUGUGGUGAUUUGAACUGUGUGGCUUUGAAUGCAUUUGUUUUUUUAUGUAUACUCUUAUGCCGAAGGGGACUGCCCCCUAACUGGCUUUUUGCCAAUGCGCCUAGCAAUUAUUGGUUUUGUUCUCUUUUCCUCUUAUCCUCAAAUUAUUGUAACUUCCUGGCUGGUAUGUUUAUAAGACCCAUCAGAGAGACUAGUCUUCCUCAGGCCUCAGGGGGAGGAUUGUAAAAAUGGAAAUUUGAACCCUAGACUUCAAUCCCCAAAAGUCCUUGGUAUUUCCCAGAAUUCCCUGUAAUCUCACCUGAGUCUCCACCUGGACAAGAUCAUAAUUAUUAUUUAACAGGCUCUCUACCUCCCAAGUGCUCUCUCAGCUCGGCCAUUGCAAUGAUGUAGCAAGUAAGCUUUGAAUGGGCUAAUCAGCCAAUGGCACAUGGUGUAUUUUCUUUAUUCCUUGAUUUCUAAUAAUCUUUAAUAAACCUCAU